CUACUUUGGCUUCAAGUGAGUUUGUUGCAUGUGACUUCUCUUGUAGUGCUGUAAAAGAAAGAAAGGUACUCCCCAGGAGGCAUUCAGUGGUUGGAGUUCACCAGCAGGUGCCUCUACAGCACGAGUACAUCAUGGUGCUUCUGACACCAAGUGGACCACUGAAGGGGAGCAUGGGAGAGUAACCAGUGUUAAGAUUGACCAAAGAACAAUAUUUAACAAUAGAAUUACAAAAAUGUUUUGAAAUAUAUCGGUUGACUAUA